AGCCUGUUUCAGGGCAGUAGUGAUGGAGUGGAGGUUCGAUAUGAUUUACUGGAUUGUCAUAUCAGCAUCUGUUCUCCUCAGGUGGCACAACUCUUUACAGACAACUUUGACUACCAAACUCGAGAUGACUUUGUGCGAGGUCUCUUAGUGAAUGAGGAGAUCCUAGGGAACCAGAUCCACAUGCACGUAACAGCUAAGGAAUAUGGUGCCCGUGUCUCCAACCUACACAUGUACUCAGCUGUCUGUGCUGACGUCAUCCGCCGAUGGGUCUACCCUCUCACCCCAGAGGCGAACUUCACUGACAGCACCACCCAGAGCUGCACUCAUUCCCGGCACAACAUCUACCGAGGGCCUGAGGUGAUAACGUGGUGCUGGACCAGACCUACCUGUGGCAGGGUGUUCGAGUGGCGGCUGGAGCACAGAUCCAUCAGUCUCUGCUUUGUGACAAUGCUGAGGUCAAGGAACGAGUGACACUG
rnacentral:sRNA from 1 species